CGCGUAGGCACCAAGCGUUGUCCGGAUUUAUUGGGCGUAAAGAGCUCGUAGGCGGUUCGGUAAGUCGGGUGUGAAAACUUUGGGCUCAACCCAAAGCCUGCACUCGAUACUGCUGUGACUUGAGUCCGGUAGGGGAGUGGGGAAUUCCUGGUGUAGCGGUGGAAUGCGCAGAUAUCAGGAGGAACACCGGUGGCGAAGGCGCCACUCUGGGCCGGUACUGACGCUGAGGAGCGAAAGCGUGGGGAGCGAACAGG
rnacentral:rRNA from 1 species